GAGACUCUGUGCGCGUGCAUAUCAAUAAGCGGAGGAAAAGAAACUAACAAGGAUUCCCCUAGUAACGGCGAGUGAAGCGGGAAGAGCUCAAAUUUGAAAUCUUAAAGGGUUUCCCUUUACGAAUUGUAGUUUAAAGAAGUGUUUUCUGUUGGAGUUUCGGUAAAAGUUCUUUGGAAUAGGACAUCAUAGAGGGUGAGAAUCCCGUGUUUGACCGUUACUUUCCAGCUGUGUGAUACACUUUCAAAGAGUCGGAUUGUUUGGGAAUGCAGUCCAAAAUGGGUGGUAAAUUUCAUCUAAAGCUAAAUAUUGGCGAGAGACCGAUAGCGAACAAGUACCGUGAGGGAAAGAUGAAAAGAACUUUGAAAAGAGAGUUAAACAGUACGUGAAAUUGUCAAAAGGGAAGCGUUUGACACCAGUGUUGUUUAGUUGAAAAUCAAUUCAAUAAUUUUUGAUUUUGAGUAGUAUUGACUUCAUCAGCUUGCUGCUUUCUUUUCCGAAAUUAUUGAAUGCACUUUUCAGUUAACAAGUCAACAUCAAUUUCUUUUGUUGUAAAAGGGUAAGAGGAAGGUGGCUUACGCUUCGGCGUAAGUGUUUAUAGCCUUUUACCUCUGCAAUCGGAGAGAUUGAGGACAGCAGCGUAGACUCCUUCGGGGGUUAGAUACACUUGUGCUAAGCUAUAGCCUUGUAUAGACAACUUGUUGACUAUGCUCAGUCAUGUAGCUUACCUCGCUUGUGCUAUUUUACCUACGCUUAGGAUGUUGACAGCAGUAUAGACUGU
rnacentral:rRNA from 1 species